AUUGAACGCUGGCGGCAGGCCUAACACAUGCAAGUCGAACGAGUGGCGCACGGGUGAGUAAUGUCUUUGAACCUGCCUUAUGGAGGGGGAUCACUACUGGAAACGGUAGCUAAUCCCGCUUACCAUCAGAUUUGCCCAGAUGGGAUUAGUUUUUUGGUGGGGUAACGGCUCACCAAGGCGACGAUCCCUAGCUGGUCUGAGAGGAUGACCAGCCACACUGGGACUGGGACACGGUCCAGACUCCUACGGGAGGCAGCAGUGGGGAAUAUUGCACAAUGGGCGAAAGCCUGAUGCAGCCAUGCAGCGUGUGUGAAGAAGGCCUUCGGGUUGGAAAGUACUUUCAGCGGGGAGGCGGUAGCCGAAGAAGAAGCACCGGCUAACUCCGUGCCAGCAGCCGCGGUAAUAC
rnacentral:rRNA from 1 species